UGAACACAAACCAGAACACACUAAACUUUUCCCGAGGCAGAGUCCAGUCGACGACUUUAUGACAAUCUUCCUGGAUGGAGUUUGCCUAAUACCUUCCAGUUGGUCAUGAGACAGUCAGGGGACUGAAAAUGUGUCACUUGAUUAAGUUUUUCAGGCUGAUAACAAGAAGGCUACUGUGUUAUGACAAAUUUGCUACCUUCUAUAACCGAGCAACGUGUUGAAUCUUGGGGAAUACUACAAAAUAUGGAUCAACAUGUGUGGUGAUGUAUCUGAUGGUUUCUGCAAGUCAGAGUUGCUUUUGAAUGAGCCCUAGUAUAGGAUCCAUUUCACUUUGGCUCUAGGACACACACAGCAGACCCCCUUGUCCGCUGGCUCUUACAAUCUCUACGACUCUCUUUCAAGAUUAUCCCUGAGCCCUGGGUACAUGGAGUGUGUUGCAGGUGUAUUCACACCACCACAAAAUAGACACUCUACUUGGUGAGGGCUGAGAGCUUCAUUAUCUGUGGGUAUAAGACCCCUUCUUCUUAUUUUCCCAUUUCCUCUUUCUAUCACUUUUAUCCUGCUAUUUCCCUUCUCUAAAGAUCCCCCACCAAAUGCGCUAUGCAGCCCCAUGUGGGGCUAGGACCCACAGUGUAGGAAGUGUGGCUACAGAUGAUUUGAAGGAUGUGGGAGGAUGUGAAUUGGCUAUAUCCAAGUAGCAUGCCUUCU
ensembl:lncRNA